rnacentral:rRNA from 1 species
GACGAACGCUGGCGGCGUGCCUAAUACAUGCAAGUAGAACGCUGAAGGAGGAGCUUGCUUCUCUGGAUGAGUUGCGAACGGGUGAGUAACGCGUAGGUAACCUGCCUGGUAGCGGGGGAUAACUAUUGGAAACGAUAGCUAAUACCGCAUAAGAGUAGAUGUCGCAUGACAUUUGCUUAAAAGGUGCAAUUGCAUCACUACCAGAUGGACCUGCGUUGUAUUAGCUAGUUGGUGAGGUAACGGCUCACCAAGGCAACGAUACAUAGCCGACCUGAGAGGGUGAUCGGCCACACUGGGACUGAGACACGGCCCAGACUCCUACGGGAGGCAGCAGUAGGGAAUCUUCGGCAAUGGACGGAAGUCUGACCGAGCAACGCCGCGUGAGUGAAGAAGGGUUUCGGAUCGUAAAGCUCUGUUGUAAGAGAAGAACGAGUGUGAGAGUGGAAAGUUCACACUGUGACGGUAGCUGACCAGAAAGGGACGGCUAACUACGUG